ACUCAGCCAAUUAAACGGAACAUACACUUUCCCCUUGGGGGCCAGUGUGCCAUGGCUGCGAACAGUAGCCUCUUGGGUAGUGUAUACAGCCUGUUGUUUGUAUGAUUUCCCUUAAGGGACUUUGGAAACAGUG
ensembl:snoRNA SNORA70 Small nucleolar RNA SNORA70